rnacentral:lncRNA from 1 species
ACUAAGAGGAAAUAUGACAGCCAUGUCCAGAAAUAUAGGAAUACUCAUCACAUAAGAAAGACAUUCCUGAAGGUAAAUCAGGGUAAAAGUACCAGCCUUUUGAAUAUUAAUAAUUGUUAAGUGAACUGUGCAUGGUGCAUGUUAGUAGAGGUUUGGGGGAGAUAAAGAGACCGAACAAGGAGAAAGAUAAGACCAUGUAGUGGCAGUAGAACAUUCAAGCUUUGAAAGGUAUUCAUAGGGACAAAUACCUCAUAGCAUGAGAGGUCCAGAGGAUUAAGGCCUGGGAGUUACCAUCUACCUGGGGGGAGGGCAAACAAUUCCCAGGGAGAGAAGGAUUAAAGUCAGAGAGGAUGUUUAUGUUGUCUAGAUGUCAUCACUCAGCAGUUCAGUAGGGAGUCUGUGAGUCAGAAAGCUUCAACUUGGACUCUUUGUGUAUGGCUAGCAGAUGAUGGCUAUAGUUUUGUGGGGUAUGAAAAGCAGGCAGAUGCUAAAUGUCUAAAAACCUGCUUAUUUGGACUUUAAAACUGUUGCAUCUGUAAAAAAAAAAAAAUGAGUUAGCAUUGAUGAGCUUUUGAGCUAAUGGAUUUCAGCCUGCUGUGAAGAAAUAAACAACCUAGAGGUCAAUACACAGAGGCCAUCUUCAGCUAGUUUCUAUGACAAAACAAAGACUAUUUUACCUAUACUAUUUCAUUUAUUUUCAAGAAAGAUAGUUCUACUGCAGAAUUUAAACUAGAGGUUCCCCAAAAGUGAAUAAACUGAUUUGAAGUUAUUAUAGAGGAGGUUAAAGAUUAGAUUAAAUGUACUAUAAAACUCUACUCAGUUCGCCUGAAUUUAUCACAUGUGGUAGCAUAUGUCUCUAAAGCAAUCAAUCUAUCCUUACAAAUCAUAAACAUAAACACAAUUUCUCCACUAAAACAUUUUUAUCACAAAAAUGCCCUUAAUAUUGUCUUUUGAGUGAAGGACUUAGCAAAUCCUAGAUCUAUGUAAAUACAGGGGUAGAUGUGUGCACCUGCAUAUGUUGUAAACUUAUCAAACUGUUGACAUUAAACAGUUUGAACCAAAUUUAUUGGGAUAUUUUAAAAGUUUUAAUCUCAUCUGAUAUUGGUAAUCAAUAAUGUAUUGAUUACAAGCAAUAUCUAUUAACAUAAUAAUUAUUUAUUAGUGCCUUUCCCUAUUUUAUAUAUGUUAUAUUAGGGAUCCUGAUAGUGGAUAAUAAUAAUAAACGUAAUGCCCCUGAAAGUCUACUUGUUUCUUUUAAAAAUAACACAAAAAGUAAUAUAUAGACCUGUUACAUUAUAUACCUUAAAUGUGUUUAAGAUUAAAAUUAUAUAGAAGAUAUGCAGUGUUUUAUUUCCCACUUAGUGACUCCAAGAUAAAAUAUAUAAGUAUGUGAACCUGCAAUGUAAAAUAUGUGAUUAUAUUUUCAGUAAUAUUACUUCGUACAUUUCAAGGCAAUUGUAGUGUUUUUUUUCUUUUUUCUUUAGCAAUUGAAAUGUAAUGCUAUGGGAAUAGCCAUUAGUAUCCAACUUUACCAAAGUUUGUCAGAUUUUAAUAUUACUGAAAAAUGUGCAUUUCAGUGUGCACAUUAUAAAAAAACAUAUCUGAGAUUUCAGGUAUACUAGUAGUAACAAACUCCAUAUCGUAGCAGUUCCUACCUUGGUUAUAAAAGACACUUACUGUCUCACCCGUGGAUUUGACAUAAACAUUCUUUAGCCGUGAAUUAUCUUAAUGCCUGUAAGUUUGGCAGUGCAUUAGCUAAGGCUAAUGCCUUCUUUCACUCUUCUCCAGCGCAUAUUUUCUAACUAUGUCUAGCUAGAGGAGAAAAUAAGGUAGCUUACUUUGAAGGCAAUUGAAGCAAAAUUUGGCAGUAAAGAGAAAAAGGAAUAUAUAUGUAUAUAUAUAUAUAUCAUAUGAACAUAUGUAUUUAAAUAUACAUUAAAUGUAAUACACAUAAUAUACUUAAUAUAUAUUUAAAUUCAUAUACAUGUAUAGAUAUGUAUAAAAUGUCUAGUCUUACCAAAGAAAAAGUCUUAAACUCUAUAAAUUGACAAUACUCUAAUAAAAAUAUAAAUUAAGAAAAGAAAUACUGUUUUCAUUUCUUGAUUUCUGUAUAAUGAGAACAUAACUUUCCAGCUCGAAAGUUGUAGUUAAAAGUAAAACUUCAUAUCAAAGAGUAAUUAUCUUCACUAGUACUUAUUCAUUGAUUGUAAAGAAUUAUAUAGAUUUUUUUAAAUGACUUCAGUGUCUGUAAUGUAUGUGAUAUUGCUAUGCGCACAGUUAGUCUACUGGUUAGAGUUCUUUAGGCUGAACUAAUCAGAAAACCUAACUUUAGUGUUGGUGUACUCUGUCAGGUAAUAGAUUAUUUUAAUGACCCAGUUACUGUCAUUGUUUUUUCUGAUUCACCACUGUGGUGGUUUAGAGCUAAGCAUGAUGCCACUGGAAAUCACAAAAUGACUGCCGUCAGCAGCACCAGAGACUACUCAGCUGUCACCCACAGAGCAGAAAAGUCCCCCGCCCAGAGGUGCAACUCAAGCCCAGGAACUUGCUCUGAUUAAGUCAAUCGGGUGGCUAAAACAGUUACUCUGUGCAAGGAAUGAGAUUAUUAGGUUUGUUUUAGGCCAAUUAGAGCCCACAGCUGAUGGGAUUGAGUGAAUUAUGAUCAAGAAUUUAAACAUUAAGCAUCACCCAAAAGUAAAUAUGUUUCAUUACUUUACCCAGGUAAUAAAUUUAGCCUUUCUUCCUGUAAUUCUGUCCUAACAAGUUACUCUUAUUGUGAAGCUAUUCCUUGCAUAUAUGUUUGGUUCUUUAGGGUCAACUUUGAGCAAUGUUGAAACAGAAUUUUUCUAUUGCAAUACUAGCCCCAAACAAGGGUUUCUCUAACACUCCCUUUGGUUUAGUGAAGCCUCCAUAAUAUUCUGAUAGUCUCUAGAAAUAUUAACACAAACAAAUUAGGUGAGUGAACUCAGGCUGUUGCACUCUGGGGCUUUCAUAACUGCCACAUGGCUUUGAACAUGUUGCUAAAUCUCUGUGACCUUAUGUUGUUCAUUGAUAAAAUACAAAUGAUAAUACUAACCUUAGUGGAUUGUUGACUUUAUAUCCUAUUAUAUUUGAAAGCACAUUGCCUGCUACUCUGCAUCCAAUGAUUAUGACAAUCUCAUAACCUGUUGUUGGAAGCCUACAUCAUUAAACCUGUGUGUUGAAUACAGACAGGAUUAAGAUGGUGGAAUAGGACUGGAGCUCAACUUCUCUCCUAAAAAACAAAAUUCACAAAUAAAGACUGAGCAAUCUCCACCCAAAUGGAAUGGAAACCUUAAAAAAGAUACCCUACUCCAGAAGGAAAAGGCCACAUCAAGAGGUAGGAGGGGCGAUUUCAUGAUAUAAACAACCCCACACCAUUGGGGUGGGAAGCUCCACAGACUGAAAACUAACUGGUUCACAGAGACUCACCUACAGGAGUGAGAGUUCUGAGCCCCACAUCAAACCCUCACGUGCGGGGAUCUGGCACUGGGAGAAAAAGCCCCUGGAGCAUCUGGCAUUGAAGGCCAGUGGGGCUUGUGUGCAGGAGCUCCUCAGUACUGGGGGAAAUGGAGACUCCAUUCUUAAAAGGCACACACGGACUUUCACCUGCCCUGGGUCCCAGGGCAGAGCGAGGUCUCCAUAGGAGUCUGAGUCAAACCUGACUGCAGUUCUUGGAGGACAUCCUGGGAAAACAGGGGUGAAUGUGGCUUGUUGUGAGGGAAGGACAUUGAAGGUAAAGCUCUCGGGAAUUUUCAGCAGCUGCCUUUCUCUGGAGGUGGCCAUUUUGGGAAAAUCGGCCCCACCCAUCAGUCAGCACUGAUAAGCCCCGGGCCAAACAACAAUCCAGGUGGGAGUACAGCCCCACCUUCAGUAAACAGGCCGCCUAAAGACCCCUCAGGCACAUAGCUGCCUCUAAUCCCAUCCAGAGGCUAAACCCCACCCACCAGAGGGAUUAGAAUCAGCUCCACAAACCAGUGGGCAGGCAUCAGCCCCUCCCAUCAGGAACCCUACAGCAAGCCCCCCAUACCAAAUUCAGCCACAAGGGGGGCAGACAUCAGAAGUAAGAGAGGCUACAACUCUAGUAUCUGUAAAAAGGUUACCACACCAAAAACCUAUCAAAAUGAAAAGACAGAGAGCUAUAACUCAGAUGAGGGAGAAAGAAAAAACCCCAGAAAGUCAGCUAAGCAAUGAGGAGAUUCUUAGCCUCCAGGAAAAAGACUUUAGAUUGUUGAUGCUGAAGAUGAUGCAAGACAUUGGAAAUAAACUGGAGGCAAAGAUGGAUAACUUACAGGAAACACUGACCAAAGAGAUACAAGAUAUUAAAUUUAAAAAAGAAGUGAUGCAAAAUACAAUAACUGAAAUAAAAAAAACUCACUAGAAGCAGCUAACAGCAGAAUACAGGAGGCAGAAGAAGGAAUAAGCGAGGUGGAGGACAGAUUAGUAGGAAUUACAGAUGCAGAACAGAAAAGAGAAAAAAGAUUGAAAACAAAUGAAGAGAGUCUUAGAGAACUCUGGGACAAUGUUAAUUGCACCAACAUCCAUAUCAUAGGGGUGCCAGAAGGAGAAGAGAGAGAGAUGGGGACAGAAAAAAUAUUCCAAGAGAUUAUAGCCGAAAACUUGCCUAACAUGGGAAAGGAACCACUCACUCAAAUCCAGGAAGCACACAAGUACCAUAUAAUAUAAACCCAAGGAGGAACACCCCGAGCCACAUAUUAAUCAAACUAACCAAAAUUAAAGACAAAGAGAAAAUCUUGAAAGCAGCUAGGGAAAAGAAACAAGUAACAUACAAGGGAACCCCAAUAAGGUUAUCACCAGAUUUUUCAGCAGAAACUCUGCAGGCCAGAAGGGAGUGGCAUGAUAUACUUAAUGUGAUGAAAGGAAAAAACCUCCAACCAAGAUUACUUUACCCAGCAAGGCUCUCAUUUAGAUUUGAAGGAGAAAGCAAAACCUUUACAGAUAAGCAAAAGCUGAGAGAAUUCAGCAACACUAAACCAGCCUGACAACAACUACUAAAGGAACUUCUCUAGGCAGAAAAGAAAAGCCCGCAACAGGGAACAAAAAUGCCACAAAUGACAAGACUCUCCAGUAAAGGUAUAUAUACAGUAAAGAUACAGAAUCAUCCAUGCACAAUUAUACCACCAAAAUCAAAAAUCAUGAGAAGAGGUGGGUACAAAUGCAGGACACUGGAGAUGUACUUGCAAUUAAGAGAACAGCAACUUAAAACAACCUCAUAUACAUAUAGACUCUUAUAUCAAAACUUCAGAAUAACUGCAAACCAAAAAUCUACAACUGAUACACAAACAAGGAAUCUCUGGAGAAAAAAUGUAUCUUAUAGUAAAUAAGUGCAUAAUCCAACCAUAAAGGAGGUCAUUUGACAUCAUUCUUGGAAUGCUGAAGUCUUCUUAGAUCUGAUUCUGAUUUCCUCUCCAUCAAAGAAUUUAUGAUAACUAUAAUUAAAUAAUGCCACUGUACAAUUAAAUAAUACAGUUCUACGGUUGCAUUAAUAAUAACCAUUUCUCUGCAUGGUACAAUGGAAGGUCUAUAAUGUCUUGUUUAUCACAUGACCUAGAAUGGUGUAAUGCCUGUAUUGAAGAAUCAAUAAGAUGUAACAAAUUGUGAGGAUAUAUUUAUGCAGUAACACUGUUUUUUAACCAUUUUAUGCAUUUUAUAUUUUACUUAUUUUCAGAGGGUGUAUUAUUUUUGUUAUUCUUACCAAUUAAGUUUUUUUUAUUAUGCUAUAUAAAAUAUUUAAUGGUAUAUAAGGCUUUCUUCUUUAUAAAUUUUAGUUGCAUAAUAUAAUGAUUUUAAUAUAAUGCUAAUUGUUAAAGAAAAAUUUAAAUGUAAUAGAUAAUACUAAAUAGUAAGGAUGAAAGCCAUACAAAAUAUGAUAAAGUAUAGAAUAAAUUUCCAAUUUGUCUCAGCAUAUUUUCCAUUCCACUUCUCCAGAGGGAGUCACUUAAUCUGUUUCUUAAGAUCCAUGAUAUAAUAAUCUGUGAAUGUAAUUAUGUUUAAAUGUAUCUAUUUUAUUCU